UUGGUUAAGUCCCGCAACCGAGCGCAACCCUUGUCAUUAGUUGCCACCAUUCAGUUGGGCACUCUAAUGAGACUGCCGGUGGACAAACCGGAGGAAGUGGGGAUGACGUCAAGUCCUCAUGGCCCUUAUGGGUAGGGCUUCACACGUCAUACAAUGGUCGGUACAGAGGGUCGCCAACCCGCGAGGGGGAGCCAAUCCCACAAAGCCGAUCGUAGUCCGGAUUGGAGUCUGCAACUCGACUCCAUGAAGUCGGAAUCGCUAGUAAUCGUGGAUCAGCAUGUCACGGUGAAUACGUUCCCGGGUCUU
rnacentral:rRNA from 1 species